rnacentral:rRNA from 1 species
UCUCCUGGAAAACGGGUGGUAAUACCGGAUGCUCCGCUCCAUCGCAUGGUGGGGUGGGAAAUGCUUUUGCGGCAUGGGAUGGGGUCGCGUCCUAUCAGCUUGUUGGCGGGGUGAUGGCCCACCAAGGCGUUGACGGGUAGCCGGCCUGAGAGGGUGACCGGCCACAUUGGGACUGAGAUACGGCCCAGACUCCUACGGGAGGCAGCAGUGGGGAAUAUUGCACAAUGGGCGCAAGCCUGAUGCAGCGACGCCGCGUGCGGGAUGGAGGCCUUCGGGUUGUAAACCGCUUUUGUUCAAGGGCAAGGCACGGUUUCGGCCGUGUUGAGUGGAUUGUUCGAAUAAGCACCGGCUAACUACGUGCCAGCAGCCGCGGUAAUACGUAGGGUGCGAGCGUUAUCCGGAUUUAUUGGGCGUAAAGGGCUCGUAGGCGGUUCGUCGCGUCCGGUGUGAAAGUCCAUCGCCUAACGGUGGAUCUGCGCCGGGUACGGGCGGGCUGGAGUGCGGUAGGGGAGACUGGAAUUCCCGGUGUAACGGUGGAAUGUGUAGAUAUCGGGAA